rnacentral:lncRNA from 1 species
CCUUUGUCGUACUUCUUCCGCCUAUAAAUUCCCUAAAACUCCAAAACUGCCACAGAGAGCCACAAAAAUACUUUUCCGCCGCUGCAAGCUUCUGUCUCCGCAAGAUCCCAUCUGGGGACCGUUCUGGUGCCCUGCCGGAGGGGGGAUUUUGACACGGAGGGCUUCUUAAUCAACACCAUCGCCUCUCCGAUGAUGCGUUAGUAGUUCACCACAGACCUUCGGGUCCAUAGCCAGUAGCUAGAUGGCUUCUUC